CGUCGCUUCGGUAAGCCAUGAAAAAAGUGAAGACAUGGAAUUUUUCGUCUGACCAACGAAAGCUCCAACUGAUAAGACAUCAGAAUAAAAGCCUGAUUGACGAACUAUCUUUAUCACUUUCAGUUGCAAA
ensembl:ncRNA Y32F6A.7 ncRNA